rnacentral:rRNA from 1 species
UACGUAGGAUCCGAGCGUUGUCCGGAUUUACUGGGUGUAAAGGGUGCGCAGGCGGACUGGUAAGUCAGUGGUGAAAUCUCGUCGCUUGACGACGAAACUGCCUUUGAUACUAUCAGUCUUGAAUCCGGUAGAGAUCUGUGGAAUUCCGAGUGUAGCAGUGAAAUGUGUAGAUAUUCGGAAGAACACCAGUGGCGAAGGCAGCAGAUUGGGCCGGUAUUGACGCUCAGGCACGAAAGCAUGGGGAUCAAACAGG